UACGUAGGGUGCGAGCGUUAAUCGGAAUUACUGGGCGUAAAGUGUGCGCAGGCGGCCGCGCAAGUCGAGUGUGAAAGCCCCGAGCUUAACUUGGGAAUGGCAGUGGAAACUGGCGGGCUUGAGUGUGGCAGAGGGGGGUGGAAUUCCGCGUGUAGCAGUGAAAUGCGUAGAGAUGCGGAGGAACACCGAUGGCGAAGGCAGCCCCCUGGGCUGACACUGACGCUGAGGCACGAAAGCGUGGGGAGCAAACAGG
rnacentral:rRNA from 1 species